GACGUACUCCCUCCGUUCGGAAUUACUCGUUUAAGAAAUGAAUGUAUCUAGAUGUAUUUUAGUUGUAGUUACAUUCAUUUUUGUGACAAGUAAUUCCGAACGGAGGGAGUACUCC
rfam:Triticum urartu cultivar G1812 contig404549, whole genome shotgun sequence.